rnacentral:rRNA from 1 species
CAGCAGCCGCGGGAAGACGAACCGUGCGAACGUUAUUCGGAAUCACUGGGCUUAAAGCGCGUGUAGGCGGGCCGCCACGUCGGCUGCUGAAAUCCCCCGGCUCAACCGGGGAAGUGGCACCGAUACGAGCGGCCUCGAGGGGGGUAGGGGGGACUGGAACUUCCGGUGGAGCGGUGAAAUGCGUUGAGAUCGGAAGGAACGCCCGUGGCGAAAGCGAGUCCCUGGACCCUUUCUGACGCUGAGACGCGAAAGCCAGGGGAGCGAACGGGAUUAGAUACCCGUGUAGUCCCUGUCUCUUAUA